rnacentral:rRNA from 1 species
GUGGGGAAUAUUGGACAAUGGGCGAAAGCCUGAUCCAGCAAUGCCGCGUGAGUGAUGAAGGCCUUAGGGUUGUAAAGCUCUUUUACCAGGGAUGAUAAUGACAGUACCUGGAGAAUAAGCUCCGGCUAACUCCGUGCCAGCAGCCGCGGUAAUACGGAGGGAGCUAGCGUUGUUCGGAAUUACUGGGCGUAAAGCGCACGUAGGCGGCUACUCAAGUCAGAGGUGAAAGCCCGGGGCUCAACCCCGGAACUGCCUUUGAAACUAGGUAGCUAGAAUCUUGGAGAGGUCAGUGGAAUUCCGAGUGUAGAGGUGAAAUUCGUAGAUAUUCGGAAGAACACCAGUGGCGAAGGCGACUGACUGGACAAGUAUUGACGCUGAGGUGCGAAAGCGUGGGGAGCAAACAGGAUUAGAUACCCGAGUAGUCC